rnacentral:rRNA from 1 species
AAUCAACGCUGGCGGCGUGCCUAACACAUGCAAGUCGAACGGGAAAACGGGGGCAACUCCGUGAGUAUAGUGGCGUACGGGUGAGUAACACGUGACUACCUACCUUUGAGUGGGGGAUAACCCCGGGAAACCGGGGCUAAUACCGCAUAACAUCGCAAGAUCAAAGAAGCAAUUCGCUUAAAGAGGGGGUCGCGGCUGAUUAGCUAGUUGGUAGGGUAAUGGCCUACCAAGGCGAUGAUCGGUAGCCGGCCUGAGAGGGCGCACGGCCACACUGGAACUGAAACACGGUCCAGACUCCUACGGGAGGCAGCAGUGGGGAAUUUUGCGCAAUGGGGGAAACCCUGACGCAGCAACGCCGCGUGGAGAUGAAGUCCCUUGGGACGUAAACUCCUUUCGACCGGGACGAUUAUGACGGUACCGGUGGAAGAAGCCCCGGCUAACUUCGUGCCAGCAG